UCAUUUCUUUUGUCUCAUGAUCUUCUUCAAUGUUUUCUUCUCUCUCUUUCUCUGAGCUUGUGCUGGGUUAUGUGACUGCAAGAUGCUACAGAUGAUACAGUCUUUUCUUCACUCUUCUCUUUAUUUUUCUUUUCAGAAUACUUAUUUUUCUUUUUUCUUUUGUCUGUUUCAUCUGUCUUUCUUCUGUUGUUAGAAGCACAGACAGUUCUCAAAUCAACUGAAGAAAUUAUCUCUCUUCAUUCACUAUAAAGCCUUUCAGACACAGCAGCAGCAGUUCUCUCAGAAACUACACUAUAGUUCCAUCAUGAAUGAUCAUACAUC
rnacentral:sRNA from 1 species